rnacentral:rRNA from 1 species
UUAACCUGAUUCUUCGGAUGAAGGUUUUUGUGACUGAGUGGCGGACGGGUGAGUAACGCGUGGGUAACCUGCCUCAUACAGGGGGAUAACAGUUAGAAAUGACUGCUAAUACCGCAUAAGACCACGGAGCCGCAUGGCUCAGUGGGAAAAACUCCGGUGGUAUGAGAUGGACCCGCGUCUGAUUAGGUAGUUGGUGGGGUAACGGCCUACCAAGCCAACGAUCAGUAGCCGACCUGAGAGGGUGACCGGCCAUAUUGGGACUGAGACACGGCCCAAACUCCUACGGGAGGCAGCAGUGGGGAAUAUUGCACAAUGGGGGAAACCCUGAUGCAGCGACGCCGCGUGAGCGAAGAAGUAUUUCGGUAUGUAAAGCUCUAUCAGCAGGGAAGAAAAUGACGGUACCUGACUAAGAAGCACCGGCUAAAUACGUGCCAGCAGCCGCGGUAAUACGUAUGGUGCAAGCGUUAUCCGGAUUUACUGGGUGUAAAGGGAGCGUAGACGGCUGUGUAAGUCUGAAGUGAAAGCCCGGGGCUCAACCCCGGGACUGCUUUGGAAACUAUGCAGCUAGAGUGUCGGAGAGGUAAGUGGAAUUCCCAGUGUAGCGGUGAAAUGCGUAGAUAUUGGGAGGAACACCAGUGGCGAAGGCGGCUUACUGGACGAUGACUGACGUUGAGGCUCGAAAGCGUGGGGAGCAAACAGGAUUAGAUACCCUGGUAGUCCACGCUGUAAACGAUGACUACUAGGUGUCGGGGAGUAAAGCUCUUCGGUGCCGCAGCAAACGCAAUAAGUAG